UUCUGUCACUCUUCUGCCAUCUGGGCACAGAACGAGCGCCAGGCUCCAGGGUGGCACCCUCCGGAAAUCUGCCACCCUCCUUCCCUCCUUCUGUAUUUACUUCAACGGCUUCCUGUCUGCUGAUUGGCGUUGCUAAGUAAGCCGCAAAAUUUCCAUUAAAAACACCACGGCAACGGCAGUCACGAGCCAAUGACGAGCCGGUACGGCAUAAAAAGUUCAGGAACGCCGCCAGGUCCUGCGAGGAGCGGCUCUGUUUUCCGUCCCGCUGUCUCCUGAUGUACGGCUGUGCACCAGGAUCUCAUCGGCUCAAGCAAUUUCCUUUUUUCUCCUUAAGCAAGCUAUUAAUAAAACAAGUCCAGAUAGUAAUGGUGCAGUUCGAGCGUUACUCAGCACAAGGCUUGAUUUAGAGUCCAGAAAGUGCACAGCUGAACUUCCUGGACGUAAUUUACAGCACGUCUCUCCUCAAAGAAACCACGCAGAGCUAUUCAUUCUGGUUUGCUGAGAUGUUUGAGUUAAAAAGACUCGUCCGCACGGAGGAGGUUGGAAAAAAAAUGCUGAAAAUGAAAACAUCUGGAAAUAUUUUGGAUUGGAGGUGUGGAGGAGCAGGACAUUUUCAGAAGCAGAUACGACUCUCGAAAGACCAGAGGGAAGGAUUUCUCCUAAAUGAGGGUUGCUUUGUGUUUUCAAAACAUGUCAGUAUGCGUUAGUUGUGUAGAGCACGCCUAGAUGUAGUCUUACAGGACCUCAUAAAGAACAGGAUCAUCUAAUUAACAUGACACCUUCAGGCUGAUUAAACCUCAGAGAAACGAUAUCCAUGCUCCAAUGUUCAAGAUUCCCGACAGAUCUCAAAGUCCAAUCACAGUGUGGAAUAUCUGUAAAUAGAAAACCAGACUCGGAGCUGGAAGCUGCUCAGCUGCUCGUAUCUGCUCAGUGGGUUGUAGUAACCUCGACGCCUGAUGCUGAUAAUAAAAUUCCCUUCUUUCAGCAGUUUUUUUAAAUGCUUUGGCAAGCAGCCAGCCCUGAUGCUGUGUUUUUAUAUGCUUCUGUACUUCAUACACACACACAUGCACAAUUCACAAAAAUACACACACUUCUGAAUAAACCACAUUAGGAAUUGUUUUACUGAUUCGCAUCAGUGCAUUGAAUAAAAGUUUGGAUCAAAAUACA